UGGUGGAGUGAUUUGUCUGGUUAAUUCCGUUAACGAACGAGACCUCAGCUUGCUAACUAGUUGCGCCAACGUUUUGUUGGCGCACACUUCUUAGAGGGACUGUGAGCGCUUAGCUCAUGGAGGUUUGAGGCAAUAACA
rnacentral:rRNA from 1 species